AUAUUUCAACAUAUCUAAAUCUAUUUUUAAACUUUAAGAUGAUAUAGUAUUCUGUAGAUCCAUUCUGAAAGUUCUGAAUAAUUUUUUUCUUUGAACAAAAUCAUAUAACUAUGUCAGUUCUUCAAAAGAAAGUGGUGCAAAAAAUCACACAACUUCACAAAAGUUAUGGAAGUCCAAAAGAGUGUUUCAUAAAUUUCCAUUUUUUUUCAUCAAUUUUUUUAAUGUGUUGACUCACUUAUCUAACUAAUUUUUUGGCCAUUUUUAGUAUUUGUACUUUGUAACAAAGGUUCUAGGUCUUCCCGCCCAUUUUUGGAGGACAGUUAAUUAUAAAUUUUUAUUCAAGUUGCUCCUUCAUUCCCUCACUUAUGAAACUCUAUAGCCAUAGUUGAAAAUAUUAUAAAACUUUGGAAUGUAUAAAAGAAGUACACAAAAAUAAACAAAACGAAUUUGA